UGCGGGGUCGUCUAAUGGUAGGAUGGCUGACUUUGGAUCAGUUGAUGUAGGUUCAACUCCUGCCCCCGCAG
rnacentral:tRNA from 1 species